GCAGGCCCUGAUCGAAGCCGGGUUAGUGCUUUGUGUAACUAACGUGGUCAAACAGAGGCCCAGAUUAAGUCUGUUUCCACUGACGGUCGCUGCUCGGGCUUAUUUGUGCCAGAAGUCAGCAACAUUACGGGGAAAUACAACG